AUUGAACGCUGGCGGCAGGCCUAACACAUGCAAGUCGAACGAGUGGCGGACGGGUGAGUAAUGUCUGGGAAACUGCCUGAUGGAGGGGGGUAACUACUGGAAACGGUAGCUAAUACAGCAUACCAUCAGAUGUGCCCAGAUGGGAUUAGCUAGUUGGUGGGGUAACGGCUCACCAAGGCGACGAUCCCUAGCUGGUCUGAGAGGAUGAACAGCCACACUUGAACUGAGACAGGGGCCAGACACCUACGGGAGGCAGCAGUGGGGAAUAGUGCACAAUGGGCGCAAGCCUGAUGCAGCCAUGCCGCGUGUAUGAAGAAGGCCUUCGGGUUGUAAAGUACUUUCAGCGGGGAGUCGUUACCCGCAGAAUAAGCACCGGCUAACUCCGUGACAGCAGCCGCGGUAAUAC
rnacentral:rRNA from 1 species